rnacentral:rRNA from 1 species
CCUACGGGAGGCAGCAGUGGGGAAUAUUGCACAAUGGGCGCAAGCCUGAUGCAGCCAUGCCGCGUGUGUGAAGAAGGCCUUCGGGUUGUAAAGCACUUUCAGCGGGGAGGAAGGCGCCAAGGUUAAUAGCCUUGGCGAUUGACGUUACCCGCAGAAGAAGCACCGGCUAACUCCGUGCCAGCAGCCGCGGUAAUACGGAGGGUGCAAGCGUUAAUCGGAAUUACUGGGCGUAAAGCGCACGCAGGCGGUCUGUCAAGUCGGAUGUGAAAUCCCCGGGCUCAACCUGGGAACUGCAUUCGAAACUGGCAGGCUAGAGCCCCGUAGAGGGGGGUAGAAUUCCAGGUGUAGCGGUGAAAUGCGUAGAGAUCUGGAGGAAUACCGGUGGCGAAGGCGGCCCCCUGGACAAAGACUGACGCUCAGGUGCGAAAGCGUGGGGAGCAAACAGGAUUAGAUACCCGUGUAGUC